AACCUGGGAACUGCAUUCGAAACUGGCAGGCUAGAGUCUUGUAGAGGGGGGUAGAAUUCCAGGUGUAGCGGUGAAAUGCGUAGAGAUCUGGAGGAAUACCGGUGGCGAAGGCGGCCCCCUGGACAAAGACUGACGCUCAGGUGCGAAAGCGUGGGGAGCAAACAGGAUUAGAUACCCUGGUAGUCCACGCCGUAAACGAUGUCGAUUUGGAGGUUGUGCCCUUGAGGCGUGGCUUCCGGAGCUAACGCGUUAAAUCGACCGCCUGGGGAGUACGGCCGCAAGGUUAAAACUCAAAUGAAUUGACGGGGGCCCGCACAAGCGGUGGAGCAUGUGGUUUAAUUCGAUGCAACGCGAAGAACCUUACCUGGUCUUGACAUCCACAGAACUUUCCAGAGAUGGAUUGGUGCCUUCGGGAACUGUGAGACAGGUGCUGCAUGGCUGUCGUCAGCUCGUGUUGUGAAAUGUUGGGUUAAGUCCCGCAACGAGCGCAACCCUUAUCCUUUGUUGCCAGCGGUCCGGCCGGGAACUCAAAGGAGACUGCCAGUGAUAAACUGGAGGAAGGUGGGGAUGACGUCAAGUCAUCAUGGCCCUUACGACCAGGGCUACACACGUGCUACAAUGGCAUAUACAAAGAGAAGCGACCUCGCGAGAGCAAGCGGACCUCAUAAAGUAUGUCGUAGUCCGGAUUGGAGUCUGCAACUCGACUCCAUGAAGUCGGAAUCGCUAGUAAUCGUAGAUCAGAAUGCUACGGUGAAUACGUUCCCGGGCCUUGUACACACCGCCCGUCACACCAUGGGAGUGGGUUGCAAAAGAAGUAGGUAGCUUAACCUUCGGGAGGGCGCUUACCACUUUGUGAUUCAUGACUGGGGUGAAGUCGUAACAAGGUAACCGUAGGGGAACCUGCGGUUG
rnacentral:rRNA from 1 species